ACCACCAUUUCUUUUUCUUUUUCUUUUUCUUUUUUUUCUUUUUUCCCUUCUUCUUCCCCGAAACACACACGACACACACAGUUAUUUUUCUUCCCUCCGGCCGUCCCUCUCUCUCUCCCGUGUUUUUGAAUUCCGGCCACCCAUAGCCCUCACGCGCCAGCCACCAAGGAAGCCCGCCACCUCGCGAGCUUGGCCGCCAAGUUUCACGACCAGCCGCCGCCGGACGCGCGCCGAUCGGGCCGGAGAAGCCGCCGGCCGGCCAAGUUUCUCUCUCCUCUUUUCUUGUGUUUUCCGGCCAGCCCACUCCCAAUUGAGCCUCCUAUCCCCCUAUUUUGGGUCCUCUGAAUCCAAAAAUGGCCUCCAAUCCCAGAAAUUCGAAGCGGUUUGCGAGAUAUGGGGAAGUGAACACCGGCCGAACCUUUCCGACCAAAUUCCGGCCACCUCCGGCGGAAUUGGGGUCGACGGAGACCGGAUUGGUGAUCCUCGUUCCACGAGCUUCGAUUCGGAGCACCGGUGAGUCGUAGAAUUGAUCCCGUGGUGGAUCAUGGGUUAAUUGCGUGCUCCAGGUCCAGGUUGGAGACGUUGAUUGUCCGGGGCGAGCCCAACGUCUCAGUUCGUUGCCGAAGGUUCAAGAAGUUUUUCUUCCCUUUUUCCUCUCUAUCCUGUAUUGCUUCUUUAUCUGUCGUUUUAUAAAUUCCUCAUGUAUCUGUAUAAUGCUCUGUAUACUGUAUUGGACGUGUGGUUGUUAUUUAUGCACUGGGUUGCUGCUGUUGUUUUAUUUUUGAAGUGCUGCAAUUUGUGGAACAACUUGUAGUUUGUGGGAGGAAUAAGGGGAUGUUUUUAGAAGUGUGUUUUCAGUGCAGGUAAAUUUGUGGUAAGUAAAUCCCUUAGGGGAGGCUCUGUCGGAUUUUCCGUUGGAGGGUCCGGUAGGGUUUCCCUGAGAUCAGGGCUGUCUAGAGUUCCGGGGAAGGAAUUCUGGACGGGUCCUGACACCCAUUAUGUUGUACAUCUCUAUCAAACAACCAUGGUUUUCCUAACAGCAAGUGACAAGCAUCCAUCUUAAUCACAUCACAAUCUAGGGUGUCCACGUAGUUGUUUCCAAUAGACAAAGUCAAAUUGCACAUUUCUUGAACCUUAAUGUCUGAAUCUUUCUUGGCCCAUCCAAUUUUGUAUGGCUCUGGAUGUGGUUUUGCUUUAAUUGGAUUUUGAAGACCAUGUAUGUACCUAGCUACUUGCUGCCUCUAUGUUUCCUGUAAAUUAUUAUGUGAGCUAAGCCGAAAGAGCUCUAUUGUAUAUUCAUUCAUUGUUCUAGUGCC